CACCUAAUUCAAGUGGCAACAGUUGUAUCUGUACCAGCCAGAAGACUUUGUCUCAUUUAUGUUCGGCUUCACUUGUGGUUGUUAGCAAAUAGCCUUUGGAGUUUAAUUACAUGAUCAAGAUUGCUGAGGAGCAUGGAAGACAAAAGAAUGAAUAGGUGGGUUGGCUGCACAGCAGUCAUCAACAUAAAACCCUUCAGUGCUGGAACUGCGCUUGAGUGUGAGUUGGCCAACUACAUCUCUGCAUAUAGAUCUGUGCCUGUUUUUGCCUGUCUUCAUUUGCAACAGAACACACAAUGCUCUUUACAUGAGUGGCACCUAUGGAGGAGCAGAUAUUUGGAGUUACAACAGAACAAUGCAUCUAUGGCAACUGUAAUCACCAUUUGUGAUGUAGAAAUCUCUUUGCCUAAGUAAGCAGUGAAAAGGAAUGCCUAGGAAAUGUGCAGAAUUCCCAUUGCUAAAACUCUUAAGAUCAGUUCAAACAAACUUCUGUGAGGAAUGUCAAAGUGAGUGAGGUACACCUGAAAGUCAACAGUUUGCUUCUGUAAGUUGAAAAUUGAGGCUGGUUCACUUCCUAAAUCCAUUGUCCUUGAGAAAAAAUGUGGGAAAUCCUACCCUGCUCAAGACUGAUUUGGAAAGAAGGUUUUGUUAAGAUUUCUUGAGAUCUAGUUGAUCUCCUUCCUGGUUUGCAGUGUGUAAGUUAAGGAAUCCACGUAUCUCUGUUGGAGGAUCAAGAAAUCUUGUCUAAAGGAAAGAGCUCUUCACCUGAUACAAUCAUUGGUCCUCUGACACCAGCUAAAAGCAGCAUGCAUGUGUUCAUCUGGGUCUUGUGCACACAAUGCAGAUCUCUCUGACUCUCUAUUAACUUUGAAUGUAUUACUUAUACCAUUCAGUAGAUGAUGAGCUGAAAAAAAAUGCUUGGCUUUUUUCAUCUUGUACAAAAUUUGUUUAACCAUAGGGGCAAUCUUUUUUCCUAGGUUUCAGAUCUCACAGUGAAUACACUAAAUACACACUUGGUCACACAAAUUUUCACAUAGCUGACAAACUACUGAAAGCUAUAUUAUGCAGCAGAAAUGCUACCAUGUCAUUAAGUUGAUACUAUGAACUGGGUAGAAAGGUUAUAACACUUCCAAGAUGUUUGUAGCGUCUCUCCUAAUUCUUCAGUUUUCAUCAUCUGGCCCUCAAUAUAAGCAUUGCAAUACUCUGAUUUUCUUGUGUUUUUCUUCAUCAAGAUGCUUGCAACAGUUGAUUUAAUAGUAGAACAAAUGCAGUAUGUUUGCAGAAACAUACUGACCAUGAGAAGUGUCACAUCUAGAACUUUUUUAGUACAGAAUCCCUUCUUAAUUUUAGGCUAGGUAGUUUUGACUGUGAAUCUCGUUUUUCAUCCUGCCCUAGUAGACAGUGUUCAUUGCAUGUAGCCAAGUAGACUGUUCUGUGAUUCCAGAUGGAGAUGCAGAGCUGGACUCUGUCCUGUUUCUUGGUUCUGUUUGACAGAGUUGUUGUUGAGAAAUUAGUUCUAAUAUUUUUUUUAUUAUAUAGAGAUAAGAAUUUUAAUUCAUUAUAUUUCAUAGCCUAACAAAAUGUGAGUGGGGCAGCUAUAAGUAUAUUAACAUCCAGUAAUUCACUCUUACAAAUACAAUCUGUUGCAUUAUGCCAUAUAGCAAAGACAGUUUCUCAUCAGCUGUUGCACGGUUGUUUUGGUACCUGUUAAAAUGUGAGCCUCUACUAUACCUGAAUUGGUCAAAACAGGACUUGUGUGCAGCGCUUGGACCAAUGGAAGACCCAAAGCAGAUGUUACAGACCUUCAAACCUGUUUUUAUCUGAACACUGUUUCCUGUCUCUAGUUCUCAUUUUCAUAUUUGGCAGAAGGCACUACGACCUUUACUCCUAUUCUUUAAAGGGAUAACUUUUAUAGCAGCAGGGGUGAUCUGGCCUCAGAUGUUUAAACUUCUGAAUUCCUCUUGCACCAUAUGUGCCUAUAAUGGUGCAUGUUGACUUAGUGCUGAGAGUUGUAAUCCCACUCUCCCCACCUUCCCAUCCCAUAAGAGCUCAGAGAACACUUGCACUACUUAAUUAAAUACUUUAUUACAUGUAGCUGGCUGUAACCAGGGUUGUUAGAGAUCUACACCCUCCCCCUGCCCACCCUGAUUUUAUUACUAGCAAAUGUUCAGAAGAUUCUACUGCAAAUGUCUAGAAUAAUUAGUGCUUAAACUUUAAGCAUUCUGGAUUAAAGAUGUGUACUUCACACCAAUGUCUUUUCAAUCAGGCAUAGUUAACCCUUUGGAUAUGUGGACUUUUUCUAGUAGUAAGGAACUUAGCAAAAUACAAUCACUUUCCUAGCCUCACUACAUACAGGUUCUUGUUUCCCCUAGAAAAGGUUUAGGGAUCUGCAGAAAUGAAAAAAUCAAACCUCACUGAAUUGAAGACAGACUUCAUGUGAAGAGUAUGAGGGGAUUACUUUUUUUUCCCCCCUAUUUGAAUUAAAUAAGGUCAAAGGAGGUAGAGGAAUGCUCCUUACUCUAUUUGAACAUUUCCAUACAUAAAGUUCUCUGACUCUUAAAAUCUUAUUUUAAAACAGAUAAUUUUGUCUAGUUGGGAGGAAAAAAAGAUGCAUCAUUACUCACUCCCGUGUUUAACUUGCUUGAGACACAAAUAUUCCGUUUCUCCUGUAGUGAUCAGGAAAGGUGUUACUGUUAUGCUUAGCAUUCACACCUCCAAAGUAUGCUCUGCAGGUCCAGUUUCUGGAUAAUAGCUACAUUCUGAGUGCUAGCCAUGUCUUGUCACUAUAAAUUCUAAAAUGCAAAAUUUUUCUCUAUUAAUUAUUCACCUUGUCAAAGUAUUUUUGGAUCACAGAUCCCUCAGCCAAGCAAACCUAUGACAGUUGUAUUUAAACUCUGCUUGUCUUCCUUUGUUCUUUCACUAUUUGUUGCUUAUUGCCUCUUUGUUGCCUUUAAUCCAUUUGUGAGCUUUCAUUGUCAUAGGAACGUCAUUA